rnacentral:rRNA from 1 species
AGAACGAACGCUGGCGGCAUGCCUAACACAUGCAAGUCGAACGAGACCUUCGGGUCUAGUGGCGCACGGGUGCGUAACGCGUGGGAAUCUGCCCUUGGGUUCGGAAUAACAGUUGGAAACGACUGCUAAUACCGGAUGAUGACGUAAGUCCAAAGAUUUAUCGCCCAGGGAUGAGCCCGCGUAGGAUUAGCUAGUUGGUGAGGUAAAGGCUCACCGAGGCGACGAUCCUUAGCUGGUCUGAGAGGAUGAUCAGCCACACUGGGACUGAGACACGGCCCAGACCUCCGUACGGGGGGCAGCAGGUGGGGAAUAUUGGACAAGUGGGACGAAACCCUGAUCCAGCCAGUCCCGCGUGUGCGAUGGACGGGUCCUUCGGGUUAGUAAAGCGUAC